rnacentral:rRNA from 1 species
CCUACGGGGGACAGCAGUGAGGAAUAUUGGUCAAUGGCCGAGAGGCUGAACCAGCCAAGUCGCGUGAGGGAUGACGGCCCUACGGGUUGUAAACCUCUUUUGUCGGGGAGCAAAGAGAGUCACGUGUGGCUCAUUGAGAGUACCCGAAGAAAAAGCAUCGGCUAACUCCGUGCCAGCAGCCGCGGUAAUACGGAGGAUGCGAGCGUUAUCCGGAUUUAUUGGGUUUAAGGGGUGCGUAGACGGAAGGUUAAGUCAGCGGUCAAAUGUCGGUGCGCAACACCGGCCUGCCGUUGAAACUGGUCAUCUUGAUUGAGCGAGAAGUAUGCGGAAUGCGUGGUGUAGCGGUGAAAUGCUUAGAUAUCACGAAGAACCCCGAUUGCGAAGGCAGCUUACUAAACUGUGACUGACAUUGAUGCUCGAAAGUGUGGGUAUCAAACAGGAUUAGAUACCCUUGUAGUC